UACGUAGGGUGCAAGCGUUAAUCGGAAUUACUGGGCGUAAAGCGUGCGCAGGCGGUUGUGCAAGACAGAUGUGAAAUCCCCGGGCUUAACCUGGGAAUUGCAUUUGUGACUGCACGGCUAGAGUGUGUCAGAGGGGGGUAGAAUUCCACGUGUAGCAGUGAAAUGCGUAGAUAUGCGGAGGAAUACCGAUGGCGAAGGCAGCCCCCUGGGAUAACACUGACGCUCAUGCACGAAAGCGUGGGGAGCAAACAGG
rnacentral:rRNA from 1 species